rnacentral:sRNA from 1 species
UGGCUAGCAUCGUCAUCAUCAUCGUCUAC